ensembl:lncRNA
CACCUGCCUGCGGGGCUCCAGUUCUGCCUGGGGCAGCUCCUCCCGCUCAGUCGUCGUGGAACUUCGGGAGGUUCGGGACCUGCGAACGGCGAGGUGAGAAAACGGAUUGGAUUGUUCAGAAUGAGGAGGAAGCUACAAACAAAUCGUUCAGACACUGUUACAAACAGCAGCAAUCACAGUAUACGGCCACCUGUAAGAAAGCCAUGGGCUGGAAGCCCAUGCUACUAUACUUCUUUUGGUUCCUGUGGUGUUCUUCCUAACGUGAAAAUCCAGAAGCAAUUGUUUUAAACAGCAGCAGAUGGAUUCUGUGUAUUAGUACCUGGGGGCUGUUCUGCCUGGAAGAGAAUACCUUGGCUGGAGCUUUGGGUAGCUUUGCAAUAUAUAAAUCCCUACAGUACAUCACGAGGCAGGAAAUACAAAACUCCAUUCCUUGUUGUGUGGCAGCUCCAAGCUGCUGUCUGCAAGCCAGGUACAGCGCUUUGUGUCCUCACUUACUCACCUUUGAUGACAUAUUCAAUGUAGAAGAACCUAUAGUCUACUGCAGGAGAUUAAAACCAACAAGAGAGAAGGCUAGUAAAGAAAAUGGCAAACCUGAG